rnacentral:rRNA from 1 species
AAACUCAAAGGAAUUGACGGGGACCCGCACAAGCGGUGGAUGAUGUGGAUUAAUUCGAUGCAACGCGAAAACCUUACCUACCCUUGACAUGUCCGGAAUCCCGAAGAGAUUUGGGAGUGCUCGAAAGAGAGCCGGAACACAGGUGCUGCAUGGCUGUCGUCAGCUCGUGUCGUGAGAUGUUGGGUUAAGUCCCGCAACGAGCGCAACCCUUAUCAUUAGUUGCCAUCAUUCAGUUGGGCACUCUAAUGAGACUGCCGGUGACAAACCGGAGGAAGGUGGGGAUGACGUCAAGUCCUCAUGGCCCUUAUGGGUAGGGCUUCACACGUCAUACAAUGGUCGGUACAGAGGGUUGCCAACCCGCGAGGGGGAGCUAAUCUCACAAAGCCGAUCGUAGUCCGGAUCGCAGUCUGCAACUCGACUGCGUGAAGUCGGAAUCGCUAGUAAUCGUGGAUCAGCAUGUCACGGUGAAUACGUUCCCGGGUCUUGUACACACCGCCCGUCACACCAUGGGAGUGGGUUUCACCAGAAGUAGGUAGUCUAACCGCAAGGAGGGCGCUUACCACGGUGGGGUUCAUGACUGGGGUGAAGUCGUAACAAGGUAGCCGUAGGGGAACCUGCGGCUGGAUCACCUCCUUUAUG